UUUUCAUUUUCUUCUUCCUCUUUCUGUCAUUCUCUAUCUCUCCUUUAUUUUUAAAAAAAUAUAUCUUCUUCUCUCCACUCAAAAGACCUAGCCCAGUCAAGAGAAGAUUGUUGUGAAACGGAGACCUUCAUCACGGCGACAUCACCUGAGAUUUUAGAUUUCUUCAUGUACUUCCCCAUCUCUCUUUAUUUCUCUGUUUUUGAUGUUGUUGUUGGGUUUUAAGUUUGGAUUGAAUGAGAGUAACUGUGAAAGUGGUUACCCGAGAGAGAGAGAUGGAGGGACCAAUUUUGUAAGAUACUUGAGAGAGAGAGAAUGGGUUAGGGCUGAAACGAAGAAGGGAAAGAGGGAAGAAAAGUUAGGGCUCGGGUUUGGGGGAAGAAGAGUUAGCUUUGGGUAAUAUUUUUUUUUUCCUGUUUAUUCUUAACGGGUCGUGCGGAUUUUUUGCGAAUGUUAACGGGUCGUGUUUGGGUUUGAUAUUUUUCACCCGUUAAGUUAACGGGUCGUGUCGUGUUCAAUCCGUUAUAACGGGUUAACACGAACACGACCCGGAACCCGUUAAAACGACCCGUUUGCCAGGUCUAAGCCGACAUGUGUCUAUAAAGCGUCCACGUGGAAAGAAAAGAAGAAUAUCAUAAGAAGCCAAGAAGCUAGGGACAAGACUACAUGAUAUGUUGCGGUGCACAUCUACAAGAUACCAUGACAUACCAAUUUCGUUACCGUUGUUUUCAUCACUGAUUAUACAUGUUCUUUGUUAAUGAUCCUCAUAUCUUGCCAUUGCAUCUCUUUGAUCAGAUAAUUUAGUUAUUAUGUUUAGUUGUAUUAUAAAACUGGAUUUAUUUGGACCUUCCUUUUAAUAUGUAAUAUUACCAUAUUGAAUAUUUGGAUGUUUGGCUCAUGAGAAUUCAAUUCAUCUUAAGAACUUAGUCAUUUUGAGUAUAA